rnacentral:rRNA from 1 species
GAUGAACGCUGACAGAAUGCUUAACACAUCAGCAAUUGAUUGGUGGCGGACGGGUGAGUAACGCGUAAAGAACUUCCCUCACGGCUGGGGACAACAUUUGGAAACGAAUGCUAAUACCUAAUUCUGUGGGAGUGCUUUGCGUACAAUUUGCUGGUUGGAGAGGUAACGUCUAACCAAGGCGAUGAUGGGUAGCCGGCCUGGAAGGGUGAUAGGCCACAAGGGGACUGAGACACGGCCCUUACGCCUACGGGAGGCAGCAGUGGGGAAUAUUGGACAAUGUACCAAAGUCUGAUCCAGCAAUUCUGUGUGAAAGAUGAAGUUUUCGGAAUGUAAAGUGCUUUCAGUUUGGAAGCGGUACCAACAGAAGAAGUGACGGCUAAAUACGUGCCAGCAGCCGCGGUAAUUC